rnacentral:rRNA from 1 species
GUUACAGCAGCCGCGGUAAGACAGAGGGUGCUAGCGUUGUUCGGAAUUACUGGGCGUAAAGGGCGCGUAGGCGGCUUGGCAAGUCGAGUGUGAAAGCCCGGGGCUCAACCCCGGAACUGCAUUCGAGACUGUCCGGCUGGAGUCCGGAAGAGGAAGGUGGAAUACCCAGUGUAGAGGUGAAAUUCGUAGAUAUUGGGUGGAACACCAGUGGCGAAGGCGGCCUUCUGGUCCGGAACUGACGCUGAGGCGCGAAAGCGUGGGGAGCAAACAGGAUUAGAAACCCUCGUAGUCC